rnacentral:rRNA from 1 species
UGGGGAAUAUUGGACAAUGGGGGCAACCCUGAUCCAGCAAUGCCGCGUGCGUGAAGAAGGCCUUAGGGUUGUAAAGCGCUUUCGCCCGCGACGAUGAUGACGGUAGCGGGAGAAGAAGCCCCGGCUAACUCCGUGCCAGCAGCCGCGGUAAUACGGAGGGGGCGAGCGUUGUUCGGAAUUACUGGGCGUAAAGGGCGCGUAGGCGGCCUUGUCAGUCAGGCGUGAAAGCCCCGGGCUCAACCUGGGAUGUGCGCUUGAUACUGCAAGGCUUGAGACCGGAAGAGGAUGGCGGAAUACCCAGUGUAGAGGUGAAAUUCGUAGAUAUUGGGUGGAACACCAGUGGCGAAGGCGGCCAUCUGGUCCGGAUCUGACGCUGAGGCGCGAAAGCGUGGGGAGCAAACAGG